rnacentral:rRNA from 1 species
GUUAAGUGACUAAGCGUACACGGUGGAUGCCUUGGCAGUCAGAGGCGAUGAAGGACGUAGUAACUUGCGAUAAGCGUAGAUGAGGCAGUAACAGCCACUUGAGUCUACGAUUUCCGAAUGGGGAAACCCACUGGCAUAAGCCAGUAUCAUUGAGUGAAUACAUAGCUCAAUGAAGCGAACCGGGAGAACUGAAACAUCUAAGUACCCCGAGGAAAAGAAAUCAACCGAGAUUCCGAAAGUAGCGGCGAGCGAAAUUGGAUUAGCCCUUAAGCUUUACAUGUGUUAGACGAACGGUCUGGAAAGUCCGACGAUACAGGGUGAUAGUCCCGUAGUUGACGAUGCAUGUUCAGUGAAAUCGAGUAGGGCGGGACACGUGUUAUCCUGUCUGAAUAUGGGGGGACCAUCCUCCAAGGCUAAAUACUCCUGACUGACCGAUAGUGAACCAGUACCGUGAGGGAAAGGCGAAAAGAACCCCUGUGAGGGGAGUGAAAUAGAACCUGAAACCGUGUACGUACAAGCAGUAGGAGCACCUUCGUGGUGUGACUGCGUACCUUUUGUAUAAUGGGUCAGCGACUUAUAUUCAGUGGCAAGGUUAACCAUCUAGGGGAGCCGUAGGGAAACCGAGUCUUAACUGGGCGCCAUAGUCUCUGGAUAUAGACCCGAAACCGAGUGAUCUAGCCAUGGGCAGGUUGAAGGUUGAGUAACAUCAACUGGAGGACCGAACCGACUAAUGUUGAAAAAUUAGCGGAUGACUUGUGGCUAGGGGUGAAAGGCCAAUCAAACUCGGAGAUAGCUGGUUCUCCCCGAAAGCUAUUUAGGUAGCGCCUCGGACGAAUACUACUGGGGGUAGAGCACUGUUAAGGCUAGGGGGUCAUCCCGACUUACCAACCCUUUGCAAACUCCGAAUACCAGUAAGUACUAUCCGGGAGACACACGGCGGGUGCUAACGUCCGUCGUGGAGAGGGAAACAACCCAGACCGCCAGCUAAGGUCCCAAAUUACAGCUAAGUGGGAAACGAUGUGGGAAGGCUUAGACAGCUAGGAUGUUGGCUUAGAAGCAGCCAUCAUUUAAAGAAAGCGUAAUAGCUCACUAGUCGAGUCGGCCUGCGCGGAAGAUGUAACGGGGCUAAGUUGUAAACCGAAGCUGCGGCAAUGUUCUAUGAACAUUGGGUAGGGGAGCGUUCUGUAAGCCGUUGAAGGUGUGUUGUAAAGCAUGCUGGAGGUAUCAGAAGUGCGAAUGCUGACAUGAGUAACGACAAGGGGGGUGAAAAACCUCCCCGCCGGAAGACCAAGGGUUCCUGUCCAACGUUAAUCGGGGCAGGGUAAGUCGACCCCUAAGGCGAGGCUGAAAAGCGUAGUCGAUGGGAAACGGGUUAAUAUUCCCGUACUUCUUACAAUUGCGAUGGGGGGACGGAGAAGGCUAGGUGGGCCUGGCGACGGUUGUCCAGGUUCAAGUGCGUAGGCUGAGUGUUUAGGUAAAUCCGGAUACUCUUAAGGCUGAGACACGACGUCGAGCUACUACGGUAGUGAAGUCAUUGAUGCCAUGCUUCCAGGAAAAGCCUCUAAGCUUCAGAUUGUAAGGAAUCGUACCCCAAACCGACACAGGUGGUCGGGUAGAGAAUACCAAGGCGCUUGAGAGAACUCGGGUGAAGGAACUAGGCAAAAUGGUACCGUAACUUCGGGAGAAGGUACGCUCUUGAUGGUGAAGUCCCUUGCGGAUGGAGCUGACGAGAGUCGCAGAUACCAGGUGGCUGCAACUGUUUAUUAAAAACACAGCACUGUGCAAAAUCGUAAGAUGACGUAUACGGUGUGACGCCUGCCCGGUGCCGGAA